rnacentral:rRNA from 1 species
AACACAGGACAAUGGUCGAAAGCCUGAUCCAGACAUGCCGCGUGUGUGAAGAAGGUUUACGGUUUGUAAAGCACUUUAUGUCGGGAGGAAUGGCAGUAAGUUAAUACCUCGCUGUUUCGACGUUACCGACAGAAUAAGAACCGGCUAACUUCGUGCCAGCAGCCGCGGUAAUACGAAGGGUGCAAGCGUUAAUCGGAAUUACUGGGCGUAAAACGCGCGUAGGUAGUUCGUAAAGUUGGAUGUGAAAGCCCCGGGCUCAGCCUUGGAACUGCAUCCAAAACUGGCGAGCUAGAGUACGGUAGAGGGUGGUGGAAUUUCCUGUGUAGCGGUGAGAUGCGUAGAUAUAGGAAGGAACACCAGUGGCGAAGGCGACCACCUGGACUGAUGCUGACACUGAGGUGCGAAAGCGUGGGGAGCAAACAGG